AGCGAGCUGGCCGAGUGGUCGAAGGCGCACCCCUGCUAAGGGUGUAAGGGCGAAAGUCCUUCUUGGGUUCGAAUCCCAAGCUCGCUACCA
rnacentral:tRNA from 1 species